rnacentral:rRNA from 1 species
GACGUAGGGCGCGAGCGUUGUCCGGAUUUAUUGGGCGUAAAGAGCUCGUAGGCGGCUUGUUGCGUCGACUGUGAAAACCCGCGGCUCAACCGUGUGGCUUGCAGUCGAUACAGGCAGGCUAGAAUUCGGUAGGGGAGACUGGAAUUCCUGGUGUAGCGGUGAAAUGCGCAGAUAUCAGGAGGAACACCGGUGGCGAAGGCGGGUCUCUGGGCCGAUAUUGACGCUGAGGAGCGAAAGCGUGGGGAGCGAACAGG